UGAUGCAGCACGCCGCGUGAGGGAUGACGGCCUUCGGGUUGUAAACCUCUUUUAGUAGGGAAGAAGCGAAAGUGACGGUACCUGCAGAAAAAGCACCGGCUAACUAC
rnacentral:rRNA from 1 species